GCUCUUUAACAAGUCGAUCAGGCAAUUUGUGUGGGCGUCUGGCUCGCGUGACACCAGUCACAUAGAUAUUCGAGCAGACGAACACUCGUCAAGAGUACCAGUUUUGACUCGAGCCCGGAUUGAUUCGCCUUUCGAAACUGCUUUUGCAGUGUCGGAUAAAGAAUCUCAAAGCUUCAUUUUAAACUGAAGAGUUUGAUCAUGGCUCAGAUUGAACGCUGGCGGCAGGCCUAACACAUGCAAGUCGAGCGGUAACAGGGGUAGCUUGCUACCCGCUGACGAGCGGCGGACGGGUGAGUAAUGCAUGGGAAUCUGCCCGGUAGUGGGGGAUAACUCGGGGAAACCCGAGCUAAUACCGCAUACGUCCUACGGGAGAAAGCAGGGGAUCUUCGGACCUUGCGCUAUCGGAUGAGCCCAUGUCGGAUUAGCUUGUUGGUGAGGUAACGGCUCACCAAGGCCGCGAUCCGUAGCUGGUCUGAGAGGAUGAUCAGCCACACCGGGACUGAGACACGGCCCGGACUCCUACGGGAGGCAGCAGUGGGGAAUAUUGGACAAUGGGGGCAACCCUGAUCCAGCCAUGCCGCGUGUGUGAAGAAGGCCCUCGGGUUGUAAAGCACUUUCAGUGGGGAAGAAGGCAUGGCGGCUAAUACCCGCCAUGAAGGACAUCACCCACAGAAGAAGCACCGGCUAACUCCGUGCCAGCAGCCGCGGUAAUACGGAGGGUGCAAGCGUUAAUCGGAAUUACUGGGCGUAAAGGGCGCGUAGGCGGCUUGCCAAGCCGGAUGUGAAAGCCCCGGGCUCAACCCGGGAACGGCAUUCGGAACUGGCAGGCUAGAGUGCAGGAGAGGAAGGUGGAAUUCCCGGUGUAGCGGUGAAAUGCGUAGAGAUCGGGAGGAAUACCAGUGGCGAAGGCGGCCUUCUGGACUGACACUGACGCUGAGGCGCGAAAGCGUGGGUAGCAAACAGGAUUAGAUACCCUGGUAGUCCACGCCGUAAACGAUGUCGACCAGCCGUUGGACCCCUUGAGGGUUUGGUGGCGCAGUUAACGCAAUAAGUCGACCGCCUGGGGAGUACGGCCGCAAGGCUAAAACUCAAAUGAAUUGACGGGGGCCCGCACAAGCGGUGGAGCAUGUGGUUUAAUUCGAUGCAACGCGAAGAACCUUACCUGCUCUUGACAUCCUGCGAAUCUCCCAGAGAUGGGAGAGUGCCUUCGGGAACGCAGAGACAGGUGCUGCAUGGCUGUCGUCAGCUCGUGUUGUGAAAUGUUGGGUUAAGUCCCGUAACGAGCGCAACCCCUAUCCCUUUUUGCCAGCGGUCCGGCCGGGAACUUCAGGGAGACUGCCGGUGACAAACCGGAGGAAGGUGGGGACGACGUCAAGUCAUCAUGGCCCUUACGAGCAGGGCUACACACGUGCUACAAUGGCCGGUACAAAGGGUUGCGAAUCCGCGAGGUGAAGCCAAUCCCAAAAAGCCGGCCUCAGUCCGGAUCGGAGUCUGCAACUCGACUCCGUGAAGUCGGAAUCGCUAGUAAUCGCGCAUCAGAAUGGCGCGGUGAAUACGUUCCCGGGCCUUGUACACACCGCCCGUCACACCAUGGGAGUGGACUGCACCAGAAGUGGUUAGCUUAACCUUCGGGAGAGCGAUCACCACGGUGUGGUUCAUGACUGGGGUGAAGUCGUAACAAGGUAGCCGUAGGGGAACCUGCGGCUGGAUCACCUCCUUA
rnacentral:rRNA from 1 species